GACGAACGCUGGCGGCGUGCUUAACACAUGCAAGUCGAACGGAAAGGCCCUGCUUUUGUGGGGUGCUCGAGUGGCGAACGGGUGAGUAACACGUGAGUAACCUGCCCUUGACUGUGGGAUAAGUUUAGGAAACUGGGGCUAAUACCGGAUAGGAGCUCCUGAUGCAUGGUGGGGGUUGGAAAGUUUCGGCGGUUGGGGAUGGACUCGCGGCGGAUCAGCUUGUUGGUGGGGUAGUGGCUUACCAAGGCUUUGACGGGUAGCCGGCCUGAGAGGGUGACCGGCCACAUUGGGACUGAGAUACGUCCCAGACUCCUACGGGAGGCAGCAGUGGGGAAUAUUGCACAAUGGGCGGAAGCCUGAUGCAGCAACGCCGCGUGCGGGAUGACGGCCUUCGGGUUGUAAACCGCUUUCGCCUGUGACGAAGCGUGAGUGACGGUAAUGGGUAAAAAAGCACCGGCUAACUACGUG
rnacentral:rRNA from 1 species